ensembl:lncRNA
AUGGGAAAUAAGCAAGACGAACUCCAACUCCUAGCACAGCACCACACAUACGAUGUCAUAGGCAUCACUGAAACCUGGUGGGAUGACUCCCAUCACUGGAAUUUAACCAUUGAGGGCUAUAACCUCUUUCACAGAAAUAGAACAAAGGGGAGAGGAGGGGGAGUAGCUUUAUAUGUCAAAAACAGUUACGUUGCAGAAGAAAUGCAAGACUGUAAUCCGGGAAACCAGCUUGAAAGCAUCUGGAUAAGAAUCAAGGGAACCGGGACUCAAAAAGAUCUUGUCGUGGGUGUCUACUACAGACCUCCGAGUCAGGAUGAAGGACUUGAUGAAGCCUUCUGUCAACAGCUGACCAAACAGGCACAAAGAAGAGAUAUAGUAGUCAUGGGCGAUUUCAAUUAUCCCGAUAUCUGCUGGAAAACAAACUCAGCCAAGAGUACAAAGUCCAACAAAUUCCUCACUUGCCUUGCAGAUAAUUUUAUGGUCCAGAAGGUAGAAGAGGCAACAAGGGGAUCAGCAACUUUUGAUCUAAUCUUAACAAAUGUGGAAGACCUCAUCAAUACAGUUGAAGUGGUUGGAGCCUUAGGGGCAAGUGACCAUGUGCUCCUGCAGUUUGCAAUACAAAGGAAUGCUGAAACUAAGACAAGUCAAACACGCUUUCUGGACUUUAAGAGAGCUGACUUCCAAAAAAUGAAGGAAUUACUGAGCGGCAUUCCAUGGACGCCGAUAUUAAAAAACAAGGGAGUUAAGGAUGGAUGGGAGUUUUUCAAAAGUGAAAUACUCAAGGCGCAAAUGCAAACAGUGCCAACAAAGAAGAAAAAUAAGACAAGUGCAAAGAAGCCAGAAUGGAUGUCCAAAGAACUUCUAACUGAGCUAAAGCUCAAAAGUGACAUGCACAAGAAGUGGAAAAGGGGAGAAAUCACCAAAGAAGAAUUCAAACGUAUAGCCAACUCCUGUAGGGAAAAGGUUCACAAGGCUAAAGCGCAAAAUGAGCUCAGGCUUGCCAGGGACAUAAAAAACAACAAAAAAGGCUUUUUUGCUUACGUUGGUAGAAAAAGGAAGAAAAAGGAGGCGAUAGGGCCAUUGCAAGGAGAAGAUGGGGUGAUGGCGACAGGGGACAGGGAAAAGGCAGAACUACUUAAUGCCUUCUUUGCCUCGGUCUUCUCACAAAAAGAAAGCCAUCUUCAACCUCAGCAACAUGGAAUGGACGAAGGAUUGGGGGAAAUCCAACCCCAAAUAGGGAAACAAGUUGUCCAGGAACACCUGGCCACUCUAAACGAAUUCAAGUCCCCAGGGCCAGACCAGCUACAUCCAAGAGUACUGAAGGAACUAGCGGAAGUUAUUUCAGAACCACUGGCAAUUAUCUUCGAGAGUUCUUGGAGAACGGGAAAAGUCCCAGCAGAUUGGAGGAGGGCGAAUGUGGUUCUGAAAUAACUUCCGCUAGUUCCUUCAAUACUCUUGGAUGUAGCUGAUCUGGCCCUGGGGACUUGAAUUCGUUUAGAGUGGCCAGGUGUUCCUGGACAACUUGUUUCCCUAUUUGGGGUUGGAUUUCCCCCAAUCCUUCGUCCAUUCCAUGUUGCUGAGGUUGAAGAUGGCUUUCUUUUUGUGAGAAGACCGAGGCAAAGAAGGCAUUAAGCAGUUCUGCCUUUUCCCUAUCCCCUGUCACCAUCACCCCAUCUACUCCUUGCAGUGGCCCUAUCGCCUCCUUUUUCUUCCUUUUUCUACCAACAUAAGCAAAAAAACCUUUUUUGUUGUUUUUUAUGUCCCUGGCAAGCCUGAGCUCAUUUUGCGCUUUAGCCUUGCGAACCUUUUCCCUACAGGAGUUGGCUAUACGUUUGAAUUCUUCUUUGGUGAUUUCUCCCCUUUUCCACUUCUUGUGCAUGUCACUUUUGAGCUUUAGCUCAGUUAGAAGUUCUUUGGACAUCCAUUCUGGCUUCUUUGCACUUGUCUUAUAUUAUCUUCAUUUGUUGACACUGUUUGCAGUUUGCGCCGUUGAGUAUUUCACUUUUGAAAAACUCCCAUCCAUCCUUAACUCCCUUGUUUUUUAAUAUCGGCGUCCAUGGAAUGCCGCUCAGUAAUUCCUUUCAUUUUUUUGGAAGUCAGCUCUCUUAAAGUCCAG